GGUCUAGGUAUAAGCAAUUAUACCGUGAAACUGCGAAUGGCUCAUUAAAUCAGUUAUCGUUUAUUUGAUAGUACCUUACUACUUGGAUAACCGUGGUAAUUCUAGAGCUAAUACAUGCUAAAAACCCCAACUUCGGGAGGGGUGUAUUUAUUAGAUAAAAAACCAAUGCCCUUCGGGGCUCCUUGGUGAUUCAUGAUAACUUCUCAGAUCGCAUAGCCUUGUGCUGGCGACGGUUCAUUCAAAUUUCUGCCCUAUCAACUUUCGAUGGUAAGGUAUUGGCUUACCAUGGUUUCAACGGGUAACGGGGAAUUAGGGUUCGAUUCCGGAGAGGGAGCCUGAGAAACGGCUACCACAUCCAAGGAAGGCAGCAGGCGCGCAAAUUACCCAAUUCCGAUACGGAGAGGUAGUGACAAUAAAUACUGAUACAGGGCUCUUUUGGGUCUUGUAAUUGGAAUGAGUACAAUUUAAACCUCUUAACGAGGAACAAUUGGAGGGCAAGUCUGGUG
rnacentral:rRNA from 1 species